rnacentral:rRNA from 1 species
CCUACGGGAGGCAGCAGUGGGGAAUAUUGCACAAUGGGCGAAAGCCUGAUGCAGCAACGCCGCGUGAAGGAAGAAGGGUUUCGGCAUGUAAACCUCUAUCAACAGGGACGAAAGAAAUGACGGUACCUGACUAAGAAGCCCCGGCUAACUACGUGCCAGCAGCCGCGGUAAUACGUAGGGGGCAAGCGUUAUCCGGAAUUACUGGGUGUAAAGGGUGCGUAGGCGGCAUUGUAAGGCAGAUGUGAAAGUCUUGGGCUUAACCCGAGGAUGGCAGUUGAAACUGUCAAGCUGGAGUACAGGAGAGGAAAGCGGAAUUCCUAGUGUAGCGGUGAAAUGCGUAGAUAUUAGGAAGAACACCAGUGGCGAAGGCGGCUUACUGGACUGAAACUGACGCUGAGGCACGAAAGCGUGGGGAGCGAACAGGAUUAGAUACCCCAGUAGUC